rnacentral:rRNA from 1 species
GACGAACGCUGGCGGCGUGCUUAACACAUGCAAGUCGAACGGAAAGGCCUUUUCUGAGGUCCUCGAGCGGCGAACGGGCGAGUAACACGUGGGUGAUCUGCCCUCCCCUCUGGGAUAAGCCUGGGAAACUGGCUCUAAUACCGGCUAGGACCGCACUUCUGUGUGUGUGGUGGAAAGUUUUUUCGGUGUAGGUUGAGGCCGCGGGCUAUCAGUUUGGUGGUGGGGUUAUGGGCUUCCAAGGCCGAGGCGGGUAACGAGACCGAGCGGGUGGUCGGCCACAUGGGGGCUGGCGUACGGCACAAGCGUCUAAGGGGGGGAACAGGGGGGAAGAUUGGACAAUGGGGGCAAACCUGGUGCAGCGAAGCCGCGUGGGGGAUGGCGGGCUUCGGGUUGGAAAAUCCUUUCGCCAGGGACGAAACGGUUUGUGACGGUACCUGGAGAAGAAGCACCGGCUAACUACGUG